AACGUAGGGGACAAGCGUUAUCCGGAUUUACUGGGCGUAAAGCGCCCGUAGGCGGCCUGACAAGUUGGACGUGAAAGCUCCUGGCUUAACUGGGAGAGGCCGUUCAAAACUGUCAAGCUAGAGUCUGGAAGAGGAGAGCGGAAUUCCUGGUGUAGCGGUGAAAUGCGCAGAUAUCAGGAAGAACACCCGUGGCGAAGGCGGCUCUCUGGGACGGUACUGACGCUGAGACGCGAAAGCGUGGGGAGCGAACAGG
rnacentral:rRNA from 1 species